ensembl:snoRNA
UAGCAAGCCUCCAGCAUGCUUAAGUCUGCAGUGACCCUAUGCAUCCCUACAGUGCUUGCCAGAACAGUUUUGAAACGGUUUGAGGCCUUGCCCUGCUCCAUCCAGAGCAAGGGUAUAGAAAUUUCAGACAAUU